CCUCUACCUCCUGCCCCAGAGUAAACGGAAAGAUAAGGGCGUCUUUUAGGUGUGGAAGGGCUGUUUCAGGGGAGGCAGGCAGAGCAGUCCGGCUGCGCUGGCCUCAUGGGAGCGCGGAGCUUUAUGGACUAUUUUCAGGAACCACAUAAAUGGCCCUCUACAUGCCUUUUGGGAGUGGAACCUCCUCCCACCCAGCCAGGGCCUCCCUGCAGCCUUCCUCUCCCGGGUGCCGCCAGGGGACGCUGUGGGGCGUCCCCGUCCCAAUGUGACCAAGGAGCUGAGGGGGCCAGAGUAGAGAGAAUGGCACUUGAGGUGGGCAGCAAUUUAUGGCCCUUGGAAGGCAAGGGCAGGUGGUGUGGGCGCCCUGGACAGUUCCCUGUCCCUUCUCCCUGGGCCAAGAUGAGGCCCUGGGCUCCCACUAAACGUGACUCCAUCUGUACACAGUGCCUGAUCUCCAGAGCUCAAAUUCAAGGCCCAUCACACCCACCUGUCCAGCUCAUCUCUGACCAUGUCCAUGCCACAGGCAGUCCCUGGCAGCAGGUCCAGCAAGGUAGGGGAAGGCCAAUGUCUGUUGGAGGCCAUUGAGAGGACCUGAUUACCGACUGACCCUCGAGCUGGACCUGGGCAACUGGAGGCUCCUCACCCCCUUCACUGUCCUUGGAAUGUGUGUUUGGUUGCUUGCCUUCCCUGCACUAGAAGCUGCCCAAGGACACAGCCUUGGAGAGUCACCUGUUGUUGAGACCAUUGGACAGUAUACAUGACUGAACCCAGGCUCUCCUGGCCUUACCGGAGUUUUACUUGGUGGAGCUUUGAAACUCAACAGAGCAUGGCCUGUCUGAUCAUCUCAAGACAAACCUCUGCAAAAGAUUCCCAUCAGGGUAGCAGGCCUGGGGAGACAGGCGCAGAGGUUCUGGAUGCAUUCUGGCUGUUGCAGAGUGCUGAGAAGGGCUCCCUGCAAACUUCCAAGCUCCUCUCAGGGCUGGGCAGCCAGGAAGCAGUUCCUGUGCAGAGGUGCCACUGGAGCCUCUGGUCUGCAUUGGCUCCUUUACAGAUCUGUGGGUGGAAGAUUGCCAGCAGCUGAGCUGGGCAUCCAAGGGUAGCCCAGGCCCAUGGGGGUCUAGGUUAGGUGGGUGAGGAGUCGGGGGAGGCUAAUCCGUCUCUGUGGAGCAGCCAGCGUGGACACUGCAGAGGAAGGAGCCUACAGAGAUCUGGAGUCUCCAUCCUCCUUCCUGACAACAGCAGCCUGACGAGAACACGGCUCCCAUCCUGGGGAGCUCGCAGCCCAGUGGGGGAGGUGUGGCCCCUAGCUGGCUGACUGGGGGUACGGGGACCACACCUCUUUCUCCCUAGACACCAGGGCCAGCUCAGUGCCAGACACACAAGGAACACAGUAUUUGCCAAUGAACAAGUUCCAUUUUUCCUUUUCCCAUGCCUCAGUUUCCCCAGAGAUGGUGUCCUGAACUGGGGAAAGCCUGGCUGUAGUGCGUGUUACUGCUUGGAAAGCUUCCCAUGGCCGUGGCUGUGGUAAGACCACUGACAUUAGCCUGAGACACCUCGCUGGUUCUGCACUUGCAGGGCCAGGAUAACACCGGGACUGUAAAGACUGUUUUGUCCCAUUUGUUCAUUUUUAUGGUGGAGUAACAGACCAGAGGCAAUCAACGACUUGCUUCAAGCCACGCGGCGAGGCAGCGGGAGAGCCUGGGAUAGUGUUCUUCUAGGACCUGAACUGUCGGAGGACAGCCUCCUUCACGUCAGGGAAUCCCGACCUCCUAGCGACCCACGGGACAACCACAGGGAAGGUCCCCCAACCUCGCACGGGGCCCCCUCCGGCAGGCCCAGCACCUGCUGCCCCCCGAGUGCACGGCGUUCUGCUUCUAGGUCUUGAGCACAAAGCAGGACAGAUCGAUUGGUUUUCCCUGCCGGAGUUGCCGAGCGCUGGUUGGCUCCGGUUUGGGGCCGGGAGAGAGACCGGCGCGGGGAACGCGGCUGACGCCCGCGCGAGGAACGCGAAGUCCAACCUGCAGCCGGCCGCGGGCGCCCCGUGAGUCCCCACCGUCUCCACUGCCCUUGGCUCGAAGGCUGGGCAAGUCCGCCUUUAAAAUCUCUCUCCUCGCCCCGCGCGGAGGCCUCCCAGGCUCUGCUGCUUUAUUACCGCCGUCGCUGACACCCUCGGUAGUCUUUUUACCGCUCUUGCACGCUCCGUUUUGAAGGGCUGGUUUUCAAAAGAAAUCAUUUGCAAGCGGCCCUGUUGUGCCGAAAGCAAAGUUAGGGGGUCUGGAGGCCCGAACACUCCCACAUCCCUGAACUCGGGUUCUGCCUCCCUCACAUUGCUGUUCCUUCUUAGUUGCCCAUAAUAUCCAAACGUGGGGCUUUGGGACAUUUACUCACCUGGUAAAUUAGAGUCAAUUUUAGUAGUUGAUUUAGUAAUUUAGUUAAAUUAGAUAUAUUAGAGUAAGAUCUGGAAAAGGUCGCAACAACAAAAAAGCAUGUUACUAAAUGCAGUGCCAUUUGAGAGAAUAAGCUGUCAACAAAAAUAAUAAUUCUCUGGAAGUGAAAUUAAUUAAAAACUUAGAGGAGAUGCCAGAACACUUAACCUAGCACAUUUGAAGAAGCAGAGGGCUCUAAAUUCCUAGCUGUAUUGAUACAAAUAAUCCAAACCGAAAGCUAUGGAGUGCAGGCUUUUGCUUUGCCAAGCAGGGUUGGAGGGUGCUCCUGUCUCGGCUCGCAUCCCCUUCCCUGUGGGCCUCUGGGCUGCCUGCCGUCUGCGCGGGGUGAGUGGGCCUUGAGCUGUGGUGGGGCAGGACCACCAUCUGUCAGUCACACACAAGAUCUCCCUGAGGCAGUGCUCUGAUGAAUGUGCCCCCAGCUCAGUCUGGGUGUACCCUCUGGGCAGUGUAAUCACUGAGGCUGCCCAGGAGCACCAGGUUCCUCUGAAAACUUCGUAUUUGUGGGGGUGUGGGUCAGGACCAGUCCCUGAAGCCAGAGGCAGAUUGUUGCCCCCAGGAGCCUCGUGUGCACUGGGUCAGUGACAGGGAACAGGGAAGAAGAGAAUUUCCUUCAUGCUGUUCAGUCCUUUGAUGUUAAAAAAGAAACAUCUUUAGAACUUCAGAUUAUUUUGGCCUUAAUGGAAACUGGGAACCAAAUCUGUUUUAAUUUUUCAGCACCUGUCACAGUAGCUGGAGUCCUUUAAACUGGACUGUCUCAGUGUGGCAGCACUGGCCCCUUAUUACCGAUGCCACUUUUUUAUUCUUACAACUGUGCAGUGUGGGUGGUGUCACCCCACUUUAUGUAUGUGGAACACAAAUCUCAGAGGAGUACAGUGACUUGUCUAAUGCUACCCAGCUAGCGCUGGUUGAGCCAGCCUUCUGACCCAGGUCUGUCUGAUGCCAGAGCCUCUUUCCUUUGCCCUCUCCACUUCCCCAGGCUAGACAGUCAGGUACUCACUCUGCAUGCAGCUUCUGGGUAUAUUUCCCAGUUAAUCAGGAACCAGUGGUUCUUUUUUAUUUUUUUACCUGCAAAUCCUCAUUUGAAUUCAUCCAUGAUAUGAUUCUACCAUAUUAAAAAAUGCUAAUAAAAGUGAUGACCAUAGAUGGUGGGCCAAUCACAGGACUUUUUUCAAAACUGCCUUAUUCAAAUAUAACUCACAUAGAAUAAACCACAUAUUUAAAGUGUGUAAUUUGAUAAGUUUUGGUGAUUAUACAUCACAAAACCAUCACUGCACUUGAGAGUGAGCAUAUAUAUUCUUCACCCCCAAACGUUCCUCAGUGUCCUUUGUAAUUGUGCCUUGUCCCUUUUCCCAUUCCACAUUCCCAAGGAAUCAGUUAUAUGAUUUCUGUCACUGUUGACUGCUUUGCAUUUUCUAGAGUUUUUUUAAUAGAUGUUAUCAUAGUAUGUGCUCUCUUUUUCUUUGGUUUCUUUCAUUCAGCAUAAUUAUUUUGAGGUUCGUCUAUGUUGAUGUGUAUAUCAAAAGUUUUUUUUUUCUGAAUACUAUUCCAUUGCAUGGAUGUGCCACAGUUUGUUUAUCUGCCUGCUGAUAGACCUUUGGGUUUGCUUCCACUUUAGAACUGUUACCUAUAAAGCUGCUGUGAAUGAUUGUCCCUUGGGUAUAAAUACUUAGGCCUGGAAUGCCUGAUCAUCUGGUUGGUAUAUGUUUAGCUUUUUAAGAAACUGUCAAACUUUUUCAGAAUGGCUGUCCCAUUUUACAUUUCUACCAGUAGUGUAUGAGAUUUCCAUAUCUUGUGUAUGAGCAUUUGUAACUUCUGCUUUUGUAUUUUCAGCAUUUUGUUUUUAAGACAAAAUGAGAAAAGGCUUUCUUAUUACAUAAAGCUUGAUUAUAUUUGCAUUUGUAAAUGAAUUAAGUGAAAAAAUUAAUAAUCACCUCUAAUCUCACCACCCCAAUGCUUCUGCUGUAUUUUCCUUCUUAAUGUUUUUCUUUACAUACAUACAACCACAGACCUAAUAUGGAAUGUAUCACAAUUUAGCCAUUACUCUAUUAGAUACUUAGAUUGUUUCUAAUUAUCUUAGUUUUUAAAAUGACUCUGUUAGGAGCAUGAUGCUAAGUAAAUCCUUUUGCUUUGGUUACUUAGUACAUUUUGAUUUAGUAUAUUUUGAUUUGGUUUAGUAGUGGAAUUAAUUCAUUCUUAGUGGAAUUACUGGGGUCAAAGGUAUGAAGGCUAAGCUUGGUACAUACUGCCACAGAACCAAUAGACUCUAUAUAUACAUACGUACAUACACAUAUGCCCCAGUCAAGUUGACAUAAAGUUAGUCAUCACAGGAGUGAAUUACUGGUACAUGCUACAGCAGGGAUGAACCCUGAAAACAUGGUGCUAAGUCAGAGAAGACAGUCACGAAAGACCACAUAUUGUAUAAUUCUAUUUAUCUGAAAUGUGCAGAGGAGGCAAAUGUAUAGAGACAGAAAGUAGAUUAGUGGUUGCCUAGGGUGAGAGUGUGGGAGCAUUUGGAGGUGAUGACUAAGGCGUGCAGGAUUUUUUUGGGGAGAGGGCAAUGGAAAUGUUCUAAAUUUGCCAUGGUAGUGGUUGCACAACUCUGUGAAUAUAAUAAAAGCCACUGAAUUGUAUGCUUUAAAUGGAUGAAUGGUAUGGUAUGUGAAUUACAUCUCAGUAACACUGAUAAGAAAACAGUAGUCACUCAUUUUAGCCAAAAGAGGGUGCAUUUGGUACGUUGUGGGUGGUAGCACAGUGACCUUGUUUUUGUGCUUAGAUUAAAUUAUACA